GAUGAACGCUAGCGGCAGGCUUAACACAUGCAAGUCGAGGGGUAUAGUAGCAAUACUAGAGACCGGCGCACGGGUGCGUAACGCGUAUGCAAUCUACCUUUUACAGAGGGAUAGCCCAGAGAAAUUUGGAUUAAUACCUCAUAGCAUUGCGAAAUGGCAUCAUUUUGCAAUUAAAGUCACAACGGUAAAAGAUGAGCAUGCGUCCCAUUAGCUAGUUGGUAAGGUAACGGCUUACCAAGGCAACGAUGGGUAGGGGUCCUGAGAGGGAGAUCCCCCACACUGGUACUGAGACACGGACCAGACUCCUACGGGAGGCAGCAGUGAGGAAUAUUGGACAAUGGGCGCAAGCCUGAUCCAGCCAUGCCGCGUGCAGGAUGACGGUCCUAUGGAUUGUAAACUGCUUUUGUACGAGAAGAAACACUCCGACGUGUCGGAGCUUGACGGUACUGUAAGAAUAAGGAUCGGCUAACUCCGUGCCAGCAGCCG
rnacentral:rRNA from 1 species